ACAAAUGCGCGGAUUGGGACAGUAUAUUAAGGAAUACUAAAAUAGCGAAUUAGGGAUGGUGGGAGCCUAGUAUAGCACCUUAAUAGAAAAUCACCCAUGAGUAGUUACACUGAAGCGAGUAAGUGUAAACGAGUCAUUCACGUUACGAAUAUCAGAGUGGAUAGUUAAUUUUAUAGCUAUCUAUAAGGGUGGUACCGCGAGUCCUUCUCGUCCUUUCA
rnacentral:ncRNA from 1 species